GUAUAACAUUUCACACAGAAACGCUUCCAGAUCGAUUCGCCGUACCUGAAUCUAGAAUACGCUCUAGCUGAUAGAAAUAAGCAUCUUUGUUUAAAGACUCUCGAGGUUGCUAAAGAGGGCUGCGCCCACAUAGUAGUGUGAGGUAAAGCUACCAGAUAUGAUGUGUAGCUGACUGAGAGGUGACAGCACAUGGGACUGAGACACGCCCAAACUCUACGGGAGGCAGCAGUAGGGAAUUUUCGGCAAUGGAGGAAACUCUGACCGAGCGACGCCGCGUGAACGAUGAAGUAUUUCGGUAUGUAAAGUUCUUUUAUUGAAGAAGAAAAAAUAGUGGAAAAACUAUCUUGACGUUAUUCAAUGAAUAAGCCCCGGCUAACUAUGUGCCAGCAGCCGCGGUAAGACAUAGGGGGCGAGCGUUAUCCGGAAUUAUUGGGCGUAAAGGGUGCGUAGGCGGUUAGAUAAGUCUAUAAUUUAAUUUCAGUGCUUAACGCUGUCUUGUUAUAGAAACUGUCUUGACUAGAGUAAGAUAGAGGCAAGUGGAAUUCCAUGUGUAGUGGUAAAAUGCGUAAAUAUAUGGAGGAACACCAGUAGCGAAGGCGGCUUGCUGGGUCUUUACUGACGCUGAGGCACGAAAGCGUGGGGAGCAAACAGGAUUAGAUACCCUGGUAGUCCACGCCGUAAACGAUGAGUACUAAACGUUGGGUAAAACCAGUGUUGAAGUUAACACAUUAAGUACUCCGCCUGAGUAGUACGUACGCAAGUAUGAAACUUAAAGGAAUUGACGGGACUCCGCACAAGCGGUGGAUCAUGUUGUUUAAUUCGAAGGUACCCGAAAAACCUCACCAGGUCUUGACAUGCUUCUGCAAGGCUGUAGAAACACAGUGGAGGUUAUCAGUUGCACAGGUGGUGCAUGGUUGUCGUCAGCUCGUGUCGUGAGAUGUUGGGUUAAGUCCCACAACGAGCGCAACCCUUAUUGUUAGUUACCAGCACGUAAUGGUGGGGACUUUAGCAAGACUGCCAGUGAUAAAUUGGAGGAAGGUGGGGAUAACGUCAAAUCAUCAUGCCCCUUAUGAUCUGGGCUACAAACGUGAUACAAUGGCUGUCACAAAGAGUAGCUGAAACGCGAGUUUUUAGCCAAUCUCAAAAAGACAGUCUUAGUCCGGAUUGAAGUCUGCAACUCGACUUCAUGAAGCUGGAAUCGCUAGUAAUCGCGAAUCAGCAUGUCGCGGUGAAUACGUUCACGGGUUUGUACACACCGCCCGUCA
rnacentral:rRNA from 1 species